CGCGCCUAACACAUGCAAGUCGAACGAGCGAGAGAGAGCUUGCUUUCUCGAGCGAGUGGCGAACGGGUGAGUAACGCGUGAGGAACCUGCCUCAAAGAGGGGGACAACAGUUGGAAACGACUGCUAAUACCGCAUAAGCCCACGGUGCCGCAUGGUACAGAGGGAAAAGGAGCAAUCCGCUUUGAGAUGGCCUCGCGUCCGAUUAGCUAGUUGGUGAGGUAACGGCCCACCAAGGCGACGAUCGGUAGCCGGACUGAGAGGUUGAACGGCCACAUUGGGACUGAGACACGGCCCAGACUCCUACGGGAGGCAGCAGUGGGGAAUAUUGCACAAUGGGGGAAACCCUGAUGCAGCGACGCCGCGUGGAGGAAGAAGGUCUUCGGAUUGUAAACUCCUGUUGUUGGGGAAGAUAAUGACGGUACCCAACAAGGAAGUGACGGCUAACUACGUGCCAGCAGCCGCGGUAAAACGUAGGUCACAAGCGUUGUCCGGAAUUACUGGGUGUAAAGGGAGCGCAGGCGGGAAGACAAGUUGGAAGUGAAAUCUAUGGGCUCAACCCAUAAACUGCUUUCAAAACUGUUUUUCUUGAGUAGUGCAGAGGUAGGCGGAAUUCCCGGUGUAGCGGUGGAAUGCGUAGAUAUCGGGAGGAACACCAGUGGCGAAGGCGGC
rnacentral:rRNA from 1 species